GAUCUUAUUUAUAUAUGCUGUUUUUAAUUUCAUUUAAUCGUAGUUGAUAAAUUUGAACUUGUGCGCUGUGUGACUGAGAAUAUAGUUGUUACAAAAUGUUGUUGUUGUUAAAUAUACAGUUGGUUUCACUAUUAUAUAAAGUAAAUAAUUAAGCUAAACUCUUUUUGUUAAUUUUUCAGCGCAAUGUUUUAUUGAAUGUUGUUUCUUAUAUUAAGAUAUAAAUGAGUAUCUCCCAAUGAAAUGACAUAUUAAGAAGGUUGAUGAUUCAGAUAUAAGUAUGUUGCAAAUUUCAAAUUAAAUUUAAUGAGAACCUAUGAGCAUUUUAAUUUUAUUAAAUUUAAUAAUGCUUUUCUUAGAAAAUGAAUAAAAAACUUGACACAAGUCAAUUGAUGCACGAUUUUCUUCAAGUAUAGACAGAAAGAAGGGAAAAAGAAAGAGGAUCAGGUUUGGUUAUCUUGUAUUAACAUAAAAUGUUUAGUUUUUUUUAUUUUUCAUAGACCAUACAGGUUUGGCAAUAAUCCAGAUGUUAAGACUAUGACUUGACCAUGAUUGACUCUGAAUCUUCAAAAGAAUAAAUUUGUUAAUAACAUUGCUAUUUUUCAUUACUAGAAUAAAGAUGUUUUUUGAAAUAAUUGAAGAUAUAUUGACAACUUCUGCAACACAUAUGGCUUGUUGCAGUACUUCUGGUAAUUUAGGUCAAAUCACAUAAAAUACUCUAGUUAUGAAGCCUGAGUACUUGCAUUGUUGAAGAAAUUAAACAAACUUAAAAAAAAAAAGUUUACAUUCUGCAAUGUUAAUUUUGCUGCAAAAACAGCUGAAUGGAGCUUCUGGAAUUACUUUACAACAACUACCUGCUGGUCUUAUUUGACAUUCCAUUCAUUCACUGUGAUUGAUAAAGUGUUGUUUUAUAAAAACUGUAAACUUUAAUUGCAUCAUUGUUUGACUGCCUUUUAGACGAAAGUUAUGAUCGAAAAUGGAAAUUGUGAUUUAGUUGAUUUUGUUAAAAGUAAUGUGAAUUUGAUCUUCGGCUCGACUUUAGCUUAGCAAUACAAUUUAACAGGUGUAUUGCGUCAAGGCAAACAUGGAUUUAAUAAGUCACUGCGAAACAGAAUUUUGCCACAAAGAUUUGCUUGCAAGAAAGCCUUAAAAACGAACUAAAAGCGUGGUCAGCAUUGGUUAUGAUAGACAGGUGGCAGAAAACUAAUGCUACAAUCAUCCUAAUUCUAGUGUUUUUCCUGACAGUUUUUACCCUAUAUAUUAUAUAAAAAUAAAAAAUUUUAACCUGUCAUAUUAUAUUUGUAAAUAAUAAUUGUCAAAUUUGUUAUGAACUAUUAUUUAGUGAAAGAAAAAUAUUUUAUUUA